CAGGCUUAACACAUGCAAGUCGAGGGGCAGCAUGGUCUUAGCUUGCUAAGGCCGAUGGCGACCGGCGCACGGGUGAGUAACACGUAUCCAACCUGCCGUCUACUCUUGGACGGCCUUCUGAAAGGAAGAUUAAUACAAGAUGGCAUCAUGAGUCCGCAUGUUCACAUGAUUAAAGGUAUUCCGGUAGACGAUGGGGAUGCGUUCCAUUAGAUAGUAGGCGGGGUAACGGCCCACCUAGUCUUCGAUGGAUAGGGGUUCUGAGAGGAAGGUCCCCCACAUUGGAACUGAGACACGGUCCAAACUCCUACGGGAGGCAGCAGUGAGGAAUAUUGGUCAAUGGGCGAGAGCCUGAACCAGCCAAGUAGCGUGAAGGAUGACUGCCCUAUGGGUUGUAAACUUCUUUUAUAAAGGAAUAAAGUCGGGUAUGCAUACCCGUUUGCAUGUACUUUAUGAAUAAGGAUCGGCUAACUCCGUGCCAGCAGCCGCGGUAAUACGGAGGAUCCGAGCGUUAUCCGGAUUUAUUGGGUUUAAAGGGAGCGUAGAUGGAUGUUUAAGUCAGUUGUGAAAGUUUGCGGCUCAACCGUAAAAUUGCAGUUGAUACUGGAUAUCUUGAGUGCAGUUGAGGCAGGCGGAAUUCGUGGUGUAGCGGUGAAAUGCUUAGAUAUCACGAAGAACUCCGAUUGCGAAGGCAGCCUGCUAAGCUGCAACUGACAUUGGGGCUCGAAAGUGUGGGUAUCAAACAGGAUUAGAUACCCUGGUAGUCCACACGGUAAACGAUGAAUACUCGCUGUUUGCGAUAUACGGCAAGCGGCCAAGCGAAAGCGUUAAGUAUUCCACCUGGGGAGUACGCCGGCAACGGUGAAACUCAAAGGAAUUGACGGGGGCCCGCACAAGCGGAGGAACAUGUGGUUUAAUUCGAUGAUACGCGAGGAACCUUACCCGGGCUUAAAUUGCAGAUGAAUUACGGUGAAAGCCGUAAGCCGCAAGGCAUCUGUGAAGGUGCUGCAUGGUUGUCGUCAGCUCGUGCCGUGAGGUGUCGGCUUAAGUGCCAUAACGAGCGCAACCCUUGUUGUCAGUUACUAACAGGUUCCGCUGAGGACUCUGACAAGACUGCCAUCGUAAGAUGUGAGGAAGGUGGGGAUGACGUCAAAUCAGCACGGCCCUUACGUCCGGGGCUACACACGUGUUACAAUGGGGGGUACAGAGGGCCGCUACCACGCGAGUGGAUGCCAAUCCCCAAAACCUCUCUCAGUUCGGACUGGAGUCUGCAACCCGACUCCACGAAGCUGGAUUCGCUAGUAAUCGCGCAUCAGCCACGGCGCGGUGAAUACGUUCCCGGGCCUUGUACACACCGCCCGUCAAGCCAUGGGAGCCGGGGGUACCUGAAGUGCGUAACCGCGAGGAGCGCCCUAGGGUAAAACUGGUGACUGGGGCUAAGUCGU
rnacentral:rRNA from 1 species